AUUUAUGUGAAGACGAAGAGUAGUACUUUUGAACAUUUGAAUGGCAGCGAGUCUGGGAAGGUGGGAGCCAGAUUUCAAGGUCUUAAGGAAGGGAACUUUUGAGCAUAGUUAACAAAGUGGUAAAAUCAUAGGAUUUUACAAAUAGGGUGGAACCGCGGGAAUAACUCUCGUCCCUAUG
rnacentral:ncRNA from 1 species